rnacentral:tRNA from 2 species
GACUCCGUGGCGCAAUGGUAGAGCGUCUGACUCCAGAUCAGAAGGUUGCGUGUUCAAACCACGUCGGGGUCA